CCUGAAGCUGAGUAUUUUGUAAGAAAUGGACAUUUCCUGUCCUCAUGGUUGUGGAGAUGGGAAAUCUAAGAAUAGGACCUCAGUGUCUGCUGAGGGUUGGUGGGGGUCUUCUUGCUUAAUCAUAAUGUGGAAGAGGCCAGCACAGAGAGACAGAGGAAGCUUCUUGGAGACACCUGGCUUUUAUAGCAAAGUCACUCCCCACAAAACCUAUGAAUCCAUGAGUGGACUGAUCAGUGCCUGUGCAUGAGGGCAGAGUUCUCAUGAGCCAGUGACCUCCCAGAAAUACUUCAGUUCCCGUUCACACAUAAUUUUGGGAUUAACUUUCCAACAAUGGGUUUCCAGGGCACAACCAUUGAAACCAUACUAUGAAGUGACUUUUAAAGUUGAAUGAAAAUCGCUAGCAUCAUCUACUUUUCUAAAGUGGCCUUAAAAAACGAGUCUGUCACAAGGAGAGAGAGAGGAAGCUUCUUCGAGACACCUGACUGAUGUCCUCCAGCCUGGAUGUUGGUUUAUUUUCAAGUUUCCCCUUUAGAUUUCAGGCAGAGAAUGUUGAGGUAGGGGACUUAGUGUUGUGGUAUUCAUGUAUUUUAUGUCCUCUAGGCUGUGGUGAAUGCAGACAUGGGAAGAAGUGGUCACGUGGAAAGUGAGUUCAAAAAGAGAGAGAGAACAUGAAAAUGGGGACAUCUUCUAUCAUUGGAAGUAGAAGGCACGAGGGAAAAGAUAGUCGUCCACCUCCCCUUGAGGGCUCACAUCCAGCAGUCAAUGGGGCGCCCCAGGAUCCACAAGCAGCUUAUAGUAGGUGGCGGCAGCAACAACAACACAGGAAACAGAUGCCCUGGCUCAGGUUCCUGUUCUCCCAAAAGAGCUGCCCCUGGCCAUGGCUUCUGGGAAUUCAGGGCCUCCUCGCGCUGGGCACCUAGGCCCAGGGAGACCUCCCUGGAUUGCCCCUUAGUGGGUCCCUCCGCUCCAGUCCAAGCAGCUCCUAUGGAGGCCCCGCCCCACGACUUCCUCUGACACCAGCUCCUGCCGACCGCUAGUCCCCUCAGGUCCCUGGCUCUCCGGGUUCUUUGCUGAGAGCGCGCCAGAGCCCAGGUCUCCCUCAGGACCCUGGGAGAAGGCCAGGAGGCCCAGAGGGCAGCCCAAGCCGCUUGGAACUCGCUCCUUGAAACAUAGAUCCUCCCCACAGCGAGGCCCCUGGGAAGGAGGCUUGAGUGGCGCAGGGCGUCUUGAAACUGGUUCCGCACGGUGGCGGUAGAGCUCCAGCUAUGGCCACCAGCCCUGGGCCUGAGCGCGCCUCUCCCGCCCUGGCUGUCUGAAAAAACGCCACCCACACAAAGGCACCAGGCAACAUGGCCGCCCUGUCCUUGGCCCAGUUCUGAGGAAGCAGCUCCCGAUGCUGCUUUUGCUUUUUCAGUAUUUGUGGCUUUUGGUUCACGAUGUUUGCCUCUGUCGUGAUUCUGCCCGAGACAGGCUUUGCCGUGUUGCCCAGGACCAGCUGGAAAUCGUGGUGCCAGUGCAGCAGCUUCCAGCUCCUCUCUCCUGUUGUUUUCCAUCUGAACUCUGACCAAGGCCUGAGUGCCAUCCUCCCCUGGGCCUCCCCUCUCUCUGGUGGAACGUUCAGGGGGGCCCUGCUCAUUCAGUCUAUUCUGAGUUGAACUGCACUCAGUCUUCCUCCCUCUGUAGUUUGUGAGUGCUCAGACCAGGUGAGAGAAACGACACGGUUCAGUUUGUUUUAUGUUCUUUUUAAGACUUGAGAAGCUUGGAAACACAGGCAUUAAUACAUUCUGCCUUCUAGAGAACCCGUAUGCAUAGGUUGAUGUGUCUUAGUCUAGGUUCUGUUGCUAUAACAAAAAUACCUAAGCUGAGUAUAUUGUAAAGAGUAGACAUUUCUCGGCCUCGUAGUUCUGGAAAAUCGAACGUCUAAGAACAUGGUGUCGGGGUCUACUGAGCUUUUGUGAGGGUCUUCUUGCUAAGUAAUAACCUGGAGGAGGUCAUCACAAGGAGAGACAGGAAGCUUCCUGGUAGCACCUGGCCUUCAUAGCAAAGUCACUCCCAAGAAAACCUAUAAGUCUAUGAGUAGACUGAACUGGACUCUGCAUGAAGGCAGAGUCCUCAUGAGCCAAUCACCUCCCGGUGUUUCUUCAAGUCCCAGUAAGAUAUAAUUUCAGGAAUUGAGUUUCCAACAGAGGAUUUCCAGGACACAGCCACUGAAACCAUACCAUGAAGAAACUUUUUCAACUUGAAACAAAAGCGCUAGGGGAACCUCCUUUUUAAAUCCCCAUUGAUGAGGGUUUAUUUUCAACAUUCCCCUAUAGAUUUCAGGCUGGGAAAUUUGAGGUGGGAGACUUGGUGGUGGUGAUAUUCAUGUACCUUAUGUCCUGUCAGCUGUGGUGAAUGCAAAUCUGGUCUAAUCUCAACAACGGUAUACCCAUGCAUUAAAAUUUCAUAGAGAUUUAUUUUUAUGUCGAGACGAAAUGUUGAUGAAAAGUAUGGGGAUGGAGCUUUUUUUCUCAUGGGCACAUGCCUGUUUUCUGACUCCCUGGCAGGCAUCAUUCCUGAAUCUACUAAUAGAGGAUAUCACAAAUCAUGUGAUGAAAUAUAAAAUGGAGUGUCUGGGGCUAAAACUCAGUGGCAGAUAGCUGGCCUAGCUUAAGUGAAGCUUGGACCAGAGCAAAGCACUAUAAAUGCAGAGUACUAGUGUAGAACAUGGAGCAUUAGGGAUAGCACUUCAUAAAUACCAAACAAAUAA